UACGAAGGGGGCUAGCGUUGUUCGGAAUUACUGGGCGUAAAGCGCGCGCAGGCGGUCUUCCAAGUCAGUGGUGAAAGCCCGGAGCUCAACUCCGGAACUGCCAUUGAAACUGUUAGACUUGAGGACGAGAGAGGUGAGUGGAAUUCCCAGUGUAGAGGUGAAAUUCGUAGAUAGUUGGGAAGAACACCGGUGGCGAAGGCGGCUACACUGGCUCGUAUCUGACGCUCAGGCGCGACAGCGUGGGGAUCAAACAGG
rnacentral:rRNA from 1 species